CAAAGAUCCCUGUCUCCCUGGCAGCAAUGCAUGCCUUUCUCUAGAAUACAAAAGCAGCUAGAGACACACACUUGACUCACAGCAAUGAUGAGAAGCAGGGAUUGCCAUUUACAUAAGAGGAGACUGAGGCAUAGAGCAGAUAAGAAAAUGAAUGUAUCUGAAGCCACAAAGCUUUGAAGUGGUGAAUUUAGGACUUAGAGCUAGGCCUGUCUGACUCCAAAACUCAUGUUUUUCCCAGGAAAAAAAACCCAGCCCUGCCCCAAAUCCCUGCCAAAAGCGACCUCCUCCAACUGCAGCCUCAGCACCGCCACUCUGAUGCUCACUGGUGUGCCUCCUGCCCACCUUUGCACCACACAAGGAGCUCUUGGAGGACAAAGACUCUGUUGAACUCAUCUUUGUAUUUCCAGCCAUCAGCACAGUGCCAGGGCCAGAGAUAGCAUCAACGAACAUUCUGCCGAAUGAUUGGAUGGUCAAAGAAUAACUUUUGCUUAAGGGCAAAAUUGUGACUCUCAUGCACAUAAUCAAACUAUGUCAAAAAUUGUAUUUAGUUCAUUAAUUCAUGGGGGAACCAGUAAGAUAUUACAACUGGUUAAAAGAAAAUCUCAAAGAACCUGAAAUAUAGCUCUCAUAGUCUGCUCCGA